rnacentral:tRNA from 1 species
GGCCUGAUAGCUCAAACCCGGUGGAGCACUGUACUGGCAUCGCAGAAGUCGGGGUUCGAAUUCCCGUUUAGGCCU